AUAGUAUAAAUUCGGAAGGUGCUGACCAAAGAACAAAAGGGCUGCGCAAACAUGAAGGCUAAGCUGUUGAUUCUUAUCGCUCUCGUCGCUGCCUGUGUGUUGGAAACAAAAGCCCGCCAUGUGCGCAGUAAUAAGGCCGGCUUUCUUGAACAAAGAUAUCUGCAAGACAACUGUCCGUCCGUCGAUGACUGCACAAGCGACGAUGAUUGUUUAUACUGCAAAUGUUUGCCAGAGAGGGACACCAAUAAACGCUACUGUGUAUUUCUUCAGAGCGAAUAAUAUUCAAUAAAAUUUGCGCUCACUUAUUAA